UCACCAAUCCUCGUCUCACCUUCUCCCCAAUCGCCGGCCGACUUCUCUCCUCCGCUCCAUCCCCACGUGAGGUUGCAGAGGAAACCUAGAUCAAGGCAUCCCAAUCCGCCCCCCAAUCCCCGCCCACCCUCCUCACCAAUCCUCGUCUCACCUUCUCCCCAAUCGCCGGCCGACUUCUCUCCUCCGCUCCAUCCCCACGUGAGGUUGCAGAGGGCACUACAAGUGGAGGAGGCCAGCGGCGCGCCGCCUCUCCCCCGAGAUCGAGCCGGUCGGGGGCAGGAUGAGGUACUGCAGGAGCGCACAUAGAGGAGGAGGGUGUCAGCUACACCUUGCCCUCUCCUCUUCCUCGUCCUCUCGUCUUCCUCCCUCCUUGAUGUCAACAUCCGGCCUCGCAGCUCGCAUCCGACCGCACCAAGGUCGAUCCCCUUCUCGUCUCCAUUCUCCGCCUCGAUCUAGAAAUUGGGGCGCGAAUGAGGCAGGGGCAUGCCUUGGCGGAAGGAGGAGGGGCGGCCUACGGGCGGGAUCCGGGACAGGGCCGGCCAAACCGUGGUGGGCGGCGUAUUUUGAGCGCAGGCGACGGCGACCUUGAGUGGAUGGAAGCCUCCCUCUCCUUCGUUCAUAUCCUCGGCUCUGACUCCCAUUAGGACGAGGAGGGGCAAGAGAGGAUGAGGUGAAGUUGGGGGAGGAGCUCAGAUGUGGUGGGUGAGGAUAGCUGAAGCUGGUGUUUGCGUUGGCAUGUGGUCAGGACAGUGGCGCCAUGAAUUCUUGCCAGCAGAUUCCUGACCUGCUCGUCUCCCUUGUCAUUGAACGCAAUUAUGGGCAUUUCAAAGCAACGAUGACAACAAGAUGAGGGCCCACACCACUUCCUCAGCCAUUGUUGAGCUUCGAGGGAGUACAGUGCCGUCUCCUAGCCUCACCAGUUGCAGCGGCCAAUUUGACAACUUGCUUGUGAGGAGGGUGGGAGAUGGAUGUGCAGCCAUGGAGGUUGUAGCCUGGCCCUAGUGCUCUCGACGGUGUCUGCUUUUGACAUCUUCCUUAUCAACUACAGUAGUCUGUAGCCUGCAGGCAGCCUCAGGUGGGAGAAGGAACAACAUCACGUCGAGAAGGAGGGGCGUCACACAAUGUGUUGUGGCCCAAGGAUAAAUGUGACCAAAUUGUUUCUGGUAGGACAUGUUCAAACUCAUGAUAAAAGCGACCAAAUUGUCAAAGAUGGUGAUGUUCGCUUUGUUUUUAGGAGCACAUAACUGGUUUGUACGUCUUCUGAUCAAAAGCAAGUGGCUUCUUCUGGUUUCCAACGUCUUUCCUUUCCUGGGUUUGCAUGUUCGAAUGAUGGGUUAGUUCAUGGCAGGGUUUGUAUGUUGCCUGAUAAAAUUCAAGCGGUUUCUUCUGGUUUCUGUGAAUUAAUUACUUAUGCGGCAUUGCUAAUCUGGCUACCUGGGAAUUAAUUAUCAACAAAGGAGGGGACUUCACUAAGAGCGUGAUAUGCAUAGGAGAGCUCUAUGUUGCAAAUGUUAGCAAAUUCCAGAAUAUAUGUAGUUUCUCUGGAGCUACAUUCUAUGAGCCAAUAGAAGUUCCUGAUGGUUUCCACAGCCUUGGGCACUACACCCAACAGAAUGACCAGCCUUUACAGGGUUUUUUUUUGUUGCAAGGGAAGCGGCUAGCUGUCAGUUGAUCAAUAGCAAGCCUGCUCUUGUGAAACCAUUGGAUUACACCCUCGUUUGGACUAAUGUUGACUUGUAUGAAAAUAAGAAUAGUGAAUGUGGGUGCAUUUGGUCGGCAUCACCACCGGAGGGUUUAUGAAGCCCUUGCCUAUGUGGUCACUAGAGGACUAAAUAAGCCAUGACUGGAAAUUGUUCAUGUCCUGAAUAUGAAAAGUUCAUACCAAGUUUGGAACACAAGGCCUUCUCAGUUUGGUAUUACAGGACGAGGUAUAACUGUUGGUACAUUCUUCUGUCAAACUAAUUCGGAUAUUAGUGAGGAAUUAGGCAUUCCCUGCUUGAAGAACUUUGACCUGAAUCUGAGAGCCAUGUCUAAUCUAGACCAGAUUCAUACACUAAUCAAACACUAUGGCCCGACUCAAACUUUUCAUAUCCUUUUUCAGCGACUCGACAGAUGGUGAGCUAUGACUUGUAAUGUUUGGGUUUGGGUGGCAGGAAAUUCUUACGCUGGCUGGGACAACAACAAACGUUGGUGCACGGAGAUUUAUGGCUAUGUUGAUGCUAUCAUGGUUAAUAUUGGUUAGUAUUGGGUUAGCAAGCACCAGUUAUGUUGCACGAGAGAAGAGGCCUAUCUGAAUUAUGUGGGGAUGCUCCUAUGCUUGCCAGGGGUGAAAAGAAUGAUGUGUUUCUGCCUCAUUUUGUCAGCACGACCUCUACGUACGAGACAAGAUCUCCGAGUUUCUUCUUGGGUGCCCUUUUCCACAAUGUUGGAGGGAGAAUGCAUUUUGUUUAUAUUUCAGGAGCGUUGGCAGGGUUGCUCACCAAUGAUCUGGAAGUGUUUUGUUCUCAGUACUUGCAUGAUAGAGAAAGGAACUGGUUAUUCCUAAUUCCUAAAUGUGCAAUUGUAGAUCCAAGGUCCCUGAGUUGGUUAGUGUUUACAGUAUUUUGCUCAUGCGUGGCCCAUCAUAGGAAUCAGCGAGCGGUGGCUCAAGCGAUACGGGGCUGGGCGAGCGUCGGACGGUGCAGCAGACUGGACAUGCGGUAGGAAUGGUGGUCAAGACCACGGGUGCAGCUUGGGGAGUGGACCAUCUAUGAAGCUCGAUGGGCCUGCUGCAUCUCUGCCUUUCAGAAGUGGCCACCGCCAUUGACCCUCCUCUAACGCAGGAGGGUCCUCCUCAAAUCAUGGGGGAGGGCGGCCGGAGAGUGCAAGCGGAGGUGGGAGGCGCUUGUGGUGUAGUACAAGGUGGGUGCAGCGUUGGGAUGUAUGGUUCGGGGUAUCAACGGAGCACCACUCUGCAAGUGUUCUGUAUCUGCGAGCCUGCGAUGUCUGUCAUUCUACCUCUGUUUCAGAUGGGUCAGUGAUAGCAACCAGCAGCCCAUGGUUAGUUGCAUAGGAAAAGGUAAUGACAAGCACAACACAUCUACUUUGCAGCUUGUUUGUGCCGAGUAUCGCUUCAGCUAGGAUUUAGUGUUAGUGGAUUCCAUGGUGGGCUGCAGCCUACAGGAAGUUAGAUGUGUUGGCUACUGUAAGCGUUACUUGUGCCAUCACCACCAGUACAAUUGACAUGGUGGCUGCAGAAUCAAGGGCCAUAAGGGAGCCUCAUGUUGUUCAAAAGACAACCAAGGUUGGCAUCUUUUUAAUUCUUAUCGUUGGUGCAAGUAAGGUCAGAAGGAUGCUAAGGGAAAUACAAAUCCAAGGCAAGCAUGUGGAAAGCGCGUCAUAUGAUGUGAAAUCUGUUAUCAUGAAAAAGAGGGAAGGGCACAACCAUGAAGUUCGAGCAGCCAGAAAUAGCGGGCAUGUGAGCGAUGGUUCUGGGAGUGCUCUCAGAGGCCAACUGGAGUCAUUCAACUUCCUCUUCAGGAUUGACAGAGCCAGGACUACGAUCUGCCUUCACCCACCUGCAAAUGCAGCAUGGUCAGCUAACCAAUUGAUGAUUUGCGAUAUUACGAGUUAGGCCCAGUUUAUCACUUUCUUCCAGUUUGUUGCCAACGAUCUGGCAGUGUCAUAAGGGAGUACACUGUUUGUUGCCAACGAUCUGGCAGUGCCAUAAGGGAGUACAUGUGUUUCAUCUGAAAAUAUAAGAUAUAACUUUAUAUGAACCGUAGAGAGUAAACUAUUCAGUGUGUAAACACAAAUUAUUCUUUAGUACCAAUCAUAGAUAAUUCCAUGGAUAAAGCUUAUGGUAUAAUAUUUUCUUGCUUGUGUCUUUGUGCCGGGGCCUUGUCAUGUGCUGCUUCUCCUUGGGUUGUUUGCUAAGCUGUUAAGAUAAUGUGAUGCCCUACCUAUCUGCCUUCACGCUGCCACCUGGUUUAUCUUCUCGGUUGUGGAAUCAAUCUCAUGUGGUAACUACGGACCUUAUCAGAUAGGGGAGGGUUCCUGAAAAGCCACCUGCUGACAACAUUUUGUUUAUUUC